GACGAACGCUGGCGGCGCGCCUAACACAUGCAAGUCGAACGGAGCUGAGAGGAGCUUGCUUUUCUCAGCUUAGUGGCGAACGGGUGAGUAACGCGUGAGUAACCUGCCCUGGAGUGGGGGACAACAGUUGGAAACGACUGCUAAUACCGCAUAAGCCCACGAUCCGGCAUCGGAUUGAGGGAAAAGGAUUUAUUCGCUUCAGGAUGGACUCGCGUCCAAUUAGCUAGUUGGUGAGGUAACGGCCCACCAAGGCGACGAUUGGUAGCCGGACUGAGAGGUUGAACGGCCACAUUGGGACUGAGACACGGCCCAGACUCCUACGGGAGGCAGCAGUGGGGGAUAUUGCACAAUGGGGGAAACCCUGAUGCAGCGACGCCGCGUGGAGGAAGAAGGUUUUCGGAUUGUAAACUCCUGUCGUUAGGGACGAUAAUGACGGUAC
rnacentral:rRNA from 1 species